AACGAACGCUGGCGGCAGGCCUAACACAUGCAAGUCGAACGCCCCGCAAGGGGAGUGGCAGACGGGUGAGUAACGCGUGGGAACCUACCUUUCGGUGCGGAAUAACUCCGGGAAACCGGAGCUAACACCGCAUACGCCCUUCGGGGGAAAGAUUUAUCGCCGAUAGAUGGGCCCGCGUCGGAUUAGCUUGUUGGUGAGGUAACGGCUCACCAAGGCGACGAUCCGUAGCUGGUCUGAGAGGAUGAUCAGCCACACUGGGACUGAGACACGGCCCAGACUCCUACGGGAGGCAGCAGUGGGGAAUAUUGGACAAUGGGCGCAAGCCUGAUCCAGCCAUGCCGCGUGAGUGAAGAAGGCCUUAGGGUUGUAAGGCUCUUUUAGUGGGGACGAUAAUGACGGUACCCACAGAAUAAGCCCCGGCUAACUUCGUGCCAGCCGCCGCCGUAA
rnacentral:rRNA from 1 species